UGUGUGCCACGCUGUCGGUUCAUCGCUCGCGAUGUUUAACUGACAUGAUUGGGGACGUCCUACCGGUGGANUUAGCCUCUUNGGGGGCGGUCCAGCUAAUAUCCCAUCGCGGUGCUCUUCAUCGAGUGUCGAGGUGGGCCGGUACGUUUACUUUGAACAAAUUAGAGUGCUCAAAGCAGGCUAUGUUCGCCUGAAUACUGUGUGCAUGGAAUAAUGGAAUAGGACCUCGGUUCUAUUUUGUUGGUUUUCGGAACCCCGAGGUAAUGAUUAAUAGGGACAGAUGGGGGCAUUCGUAUUGCGACGUUAGAGGUGAAAUUCUUGGAUCGUCGCAAGACGGACAGAAGCGAAAGCAUUUGCCAAAAAUGUUUUCAUUAAUCAAGAACGAAAGUUAGAGGUUCGAAGGCGAUCAGAUACCGCCCUAGUUCUAACCAUAAACGAUGCCAGCUAGCGAUCCGCCGAAGUUCCUCCGAUGACUCGGCGGGCAGCUUCCGGGAAACCAAAGCUUUUGGGUUCCGGGGGAAGUAUGGUUGCAAAGCUGAAACUUAAAGGAAUUGACGGAAGGG
rnacentral:rRNA from 1 species